UACGUAGGGACCAAGCGUUGUUCGGAUUUACUGGGCGUAAAGGGCGCGUAGGCGGCAAUUCAAGUCAUCUGUGAAAUCUCCGGGCUUAACUCGGAACGGUCAGGUGAUACUGCUUUGCUAGAGUGCGGAAGGGGCAAUCGGAAUUCUUGGUGUAGCGGUGAAAUGCGUAGAUAUCAAGCGGAACACCGGUGGCGAAGGCGGCCUUCUGGACAGUGACUGACGCUGAGACGCGAAAGCGUGGGGAGCAAACAGG
rnacentral:rRNA from 1 species